GAGAACUUGGCUUAACCGGUAAAGCAUCCGACUUUUAAUCGGUAUUAUAUGGGUUCGAGUCCCAUAGUUCUUA
rnacentral:tRNA from 1 species